CCUACGGGCGGCUGCAGUGGGGAAUAUUGGACAAUGGGGGCAACCCUGAUCCAGCCAUGCCGCGUGUGUGAAGAAGGCCCUCGGGUUGUAAAGCACUUUCAGUGAGGAAGAACGCCUGGUGGUUAAUACCCAUCAGGAAAGACAUCACUCACAGAAGAAGCACCGGCUAACUCCGUGCCAGCAGCCGCGGUAAUACGGAGGGUGCGAGCGUUAAUCGGAAUUACUGGGCGUAAAGCGCGCGUAGGUGGCUUGAUAAGCCGGUUGUGAAAGCCCCGGGCUCAACCUGGGAACGGCAUCCGGAACUGUCAAGCUAGAGUGCAGGAGAGGAAGGUAGAAUUCCCGGUGUAGCGGUGAAAUGCGUAGAGAUCGGGAGGAAUACCAGUGGCGAAGGUGGCCUUCUGGACUGACACUGACACUGAGGUGCGAAAGCGUGGGUAGCAAACAGGAUUAGAUACCCGUGUAGUC
rnacentral:rRNA from 1 species